rnacentral:piRNA from 1 species
UGCAGUGCCAACACCUUAGGGCCAUCC